rnacentral:rRNA from 1 species
AGUAGGAGGAAGGAGGGGACGAGGUCAAGUCAUCAUGGCCCUUACGCCCAGGGCUACACACGUGCUACAAUGGCGUGUACAGAAGGACGCUACUUGGUAACAAGCGGCAAAUCCUCAAAGCACGUCUCAGUUCGGAUUGAGGUCUGCAACUCGACCUCAUGAAGCUGGAAUCGCUAGUAAUCGCGCAUCAGCAAUGGCGCGGUGAAUACGUUCCCGGACUUUGUACACACCGCCCGUCAAGCCAUGGGAGUUGGUAGGACCUAAAGACAGUGGCCAAUUAAGGAGCUGUUAAGGGUUAGAUCAGCGACUGGGGCUAAGUCGUAACAAGGUAGCA